AGUGAACGCUGGCGGCAGGCCUAACACAUGCAAGUCGAGCGGCAGCGGGGCCUUCGGGAUGCCGUCCAGCGGCGGACGGGUGAGUAAUGCAUCGGAAUCUGCCCGGUCGUGGGGGAUAACGUAGGGAAACGUACGCUAAUACCGCAUACGACCUGCGGGUGAAAGCGGGGGAUCUCAAGACCUCACGCGACCGGAUGAGCCUAUGUCCGAUUAGCUAGUUGGCGGGGUAAAGGCCUACCAAGGCGACGAUCCGUAGCUGGUCUGAGAGGAUGAUCAGUCACACUGGAACUGAGACACGGCCCAGACUCCUACGGGAGGCAGCAGUGGGGAAUAUUGGACAAUGGGCGCAAGCCUGAUCCAGCCAUGCCGCGUGUGUGAAGAAGGUCUUCGGGUUGUAAAGCACUUUUGUCUGGGAAGAAAGCGUGUGAGCUAAUACCUCGGGGGUAUGACGGUACCGGAAGAAUAAGCACCGGCUAACUUCGUG
rnacentral:rRNA from 1 species